GCGGCGUCGCGGAGCUCGGGCCGGUGGAAGGUUUACCUGCUAGGCUCGUCCCACCUGUGUGGAGCUCCCAUCGCCCUCCAGCGUUGCGCAGCCUGAAGGGACAGGACGGACAAGCGGGUGCCUCCUUCUAAUUCAUCUUCACCAUUGUGGUUGUCAAUAUGGCAUGCAGAAUUAUCCCUCUUUCCAGCUUCUGGAGUCUACCUGGAUUCCUGGGCUCAUGGCCCCUUCCUCCAUCUUCAAACCAGCAAUGGUGAGUUGAGUCUUUUUCACAUCACAUCUCUCUGUGAUCAUCUUCUGCCCUCUCCUCCAUUUUUAAAAACCUUUGUCGUUAGAUUGGACCUGCCUGAAUAAUCCAGGAUAAUCUUCCUAUUUUAAAUUGAGUAGAUGAACAACCUUAAUUUCAUCUGCCAUCUUAAUUCUUUGCCAAGGAAAGUAACAUAGUCACAGGUUCUGAAGAUUAGGGCAUGGAAAUCUUGGAAAAAGGGCACCAUUUUGCCUACUGUGAUUUCCAACUUAUCCUAUGAAGUAAAUCAUACCACGUAAAUUCCAAAUGCAAAGGAGUUCUUUUCCAUCUGUUUUUCUACAAAGAAAAACAACUGAAAUUGGCUUCAUACAACAAUUACAUGACUAAACUUCCAGUUAUAAAUUUAUAGUAGAAAGAGAAAGGUGUUUUCUGAUAAUGCAUUUUGGUUAAGAGCCAAAGAGUCUUCACUAAACAUUUGCUGAAAAUACUGUUAUAAACAAUGACUAUUAAAGUUAAAUAGUCAUCAAG
rnacentral:lncRNA from 10 species